UGGCGGUUAGGAGGCAGCCGAACCAGUUGAGGCCUCAGGGCCAAGAAAUCUGAGAAGCAGAAAAAACCCUAAGGUGCCACAUUUGGUUUCUUCCCCUCAGGGUCUUUGUCUGCCACACCACAGGUCUCUGAGAACCAAAUGAGGUUGCGAGCAGUCUGUUGCUGUUGUGCUGGCAGGGGACAGAUGGGGCUGGCUAUCAAACCCAGGACCUCACACAUGCUAUUUAAGGUGACAUCAGUGGACAGGCUCAAGAAUCUUGUCCUACUAAGCAAAAUAUGUAAAGAAAAUCACACCAUCGUCUAUCCAAACUGGGACAAGAUCAGCAAGACGAUAAAAUCAAGAAAAAAUUACAAUACUGAAAAAAUUACAAAAUAAAAAUAGAAAAGAGGCUUGUAGAGAUGCUUAGAGAAGAUGAGCAGCAGGAAAGGCCAAAUGUAUUCAGGAAACUCAAAGCCAGAGAAAAAGAGCAGGCAGAGAAAGGAGAGGAUGAUGUACACCUGGGGUGGAAGCGCCUGCGAGUGGGCAGGACACCGAAGCCUCAACGCUGAACAGCACUGUUUAAAGCCCAUACUACAAAACCUGGAUUUUAUCAGUUAAAGAGGUUUUAAGCACGAUCAUGAUGGAAUCAAUUCGAUAUAACGGAAAAUCUUGGAUCAGAAUAUAUUGUGUGAGAAAGAAAUUAUUUUUAGUUAAAAAAAAAAACCUUGGAGAAACUACAUGGCUCAGAAGAUGGAGGUCUUGAACCAAGAUGGCAGAGGUGAAAGGCGAGACUGGACGGAGGAGAUAUGGAGAAUGGCUCAAUGAAAGGAACAUCUGUGUCGACAAAUAUUUAUCAAAGGCCUGGAAGUGUUGUUAUUGUGGUUCCUGGAAAAUAUUCUAAUGGCAUGAUUGUGGGGGAGCAACAGAAAGCAAAGAAAAAAAUGAACAUAUUUCAGAUCGUGGCGGGGGCUUUGAGGGGUUGUGGUGUCGAGGUAGGUGACGGUUCAGAUGCGGAAGCCGACACAAAGGUUCAGGGAAACUGCAGCCUGUAGCAGUAAGAGGACUGUAUGAUUCCGGAUUAGAGGAAUCAUGGGGCUCUGGCCUCUGG
rnacentral:lncRNA from 1 species